GACCCUCGCCAAGGGCCGAAGCGUCAUCGGGACCGGAAGGGUGUAUCGCCUGGGAGUCCAGUGCCUGGGAGGGAUGACCUGCUCCUGUCCAGCCGCACGCACGUGAGUGGGGUCAGAGAGAGACAAGCUGCUGACAGUCCUGGCAGAUGUCCUGGGUCCCAGUCUCCAGAAAGCCCAUCUUCUCCGACUCUCUUUCCCCUCACAUCCUGUGAGAGGCCCCUGGCCGAUGACGGCCUUGUGUCUGUGGGGUGCUUGGCACGGGACUUCCUGCCUGGUGAUAUCUCCUUCUCCUGGACCUAUAAGAACAGCUCCAAGGUGAGCAAGGGCAUCAGAACUUUCCCAGUUGUGCUGACAGAGGGCAAGUACUUGUCCACCUCCCAGGUGCUCCUGCCUUCCAAAGACGCUGUGCAGGGCACAGAUGAGCACCUGGUGUGCAAGGUCCAGCAUGGCAGCAGCAGCAACAAGAAGGAAGUGCCCCUCCCAGUGACUGUGGAGCAGGCCCCUAACGUGACCGUGUUCGUCCCACCCCGAGAUGCCUUCCUCAACUCUGGAAGAUCCAAACUCGUCUGCCAGGCCACAGACUUCAGCCCCAAGCAGAUCACAGUGUCCUGGCUGCGGGAUGGAAAGCUUAUGAGGUCCGGCUUCACCACUGACCAAGUGAUAGCCGAGAACAAAGGCUCCCAGCUCCCCACCUUCAAGGUCACCAGCACGCUGACCAUCACUGAGAGUGACUGGCUGGGCCAGAAGAUGUUCACCUGCCGCGUGAAUCACAAAGCGGGCACUUUCAAGAAGAAUGUGUCCUCCUCCGUGUGUGUCCCCACACCUCCGCCCACAGACAUCAGAGUCUUCCCCAUCCCACCCUCCUUUGCUGGCACCUUCCUCACCAAGUCUGCCAAGCUGACCUGCCUGGUCACUGACCUGAGCCACCGUGGAGGACUCAACAUCUCCUGGGCCCGCCAGAAUGGUGAGGACCUGCCAACCAGCAUCAAGGUCUCCCAGAGCCAUGCCAAUGGCACCCUCAGUGCCACGGGGGAGGCCAGCAUCUGUGCAGAGGACUGGGAGUCUGGGGACAGCUUCUCGUGCACAGUGACCCAUCAGGACCUGCCCUUCCCAUUGAAGAAGACCGUCUCCAAGCCCCAAGGAGAGGCCCAGCACCCGCCUGCUGUGUAUGUGCUGCCACCAGCUCGGGAGCAGCUGGUCCUGGGGGAGGCAGCCACUGUCACCUGCCUGGUGAAGGGAUUUGCACCUGCAGACGUCUUUGUGCAGUGGCUGCAAAGAGGGCAGUCUGUGUCUUCGGACAAGUACGUGACCAGUGCCCCGAUGCCUGAGCCCCAGGCCCCAGGCCUCUACUACACCCACAGCCUGCUGACAGUGACCGUGGAGGACUGGCUCUCGGGGGAGACCUUCACCUGCAUCGUGAGCCACCAGGCCCUCCCGUACAUGGUGACCGAGAGGACCGUGGACAAGUCCACCGAGGGAGAGGUGAGCGCUGAAGAGGAGGGCUUCAAGAACACGUGGACCACCACCUCCACCUUCAUUGUGCUCUUCCUGCUGAGCCUCUUCUACAGCGCCACUGUCACCCUGUUCAAGGUGAAGUGACACAGCUGUGGAAGGACACGGACACCAGUAGCCUGACCAUAGGGCCUGCCCUGAGCUGAGGUGGCCUGGCCCACACGGCCCUAGACUUGAACGAACUACGUCUUACCAUGUCUCUCCAGCUCUGUACUCUGGGACACAGGCUUCUCCACACCAGCCCGUUAUCCCCUCCAUGGUCACAGCACUGGGUCCCCAUGCUCUACUUUGCUGUGUGCACACAUGUUGUCCUGAAAUAAAUGUAGAUGUGCU